GCCCAAUCCCAGAUUCCCAGCAGAUGGCCCAUUGUUCUUUUAGUUCUUUUAGGGAAUAGCUGCUCCAUUAUUCAGAGAGAUGGUUCAGCCCAAUUCCCAAUGCUAGUCAAACAACUGUAAAUCUUACGGUGCAUGCUAGUCAACAUGCAGGCCAAAUAGAAUGGUAGCAUCAUAUAUCAUAUGUAAGCCCAACUAAGGCUACUCAAAGUGCAAAGCAAAGCCCAAGUAUCCAACAGGCAACAGCCCCAAAACAUAUACUCCUAUGAACAAUUGAUUUUGCAUUUUCAUAGGCAUAGUAACUUCACAUAGAGGCAAAUAACCUACAAAAGGGAGCAGAUCAAGUUUAAGAAUUCUUUAUGUCCAGGCUUUGUUACAACCAUCCCAAUUCAUUAAGAGUUCACCAGAACACAACCCACGAAGCCAGGAGAAAAGCUGAUAAAGCAGCAUCCAAUUACAUUCCCCACCACACCAAUCUAUAAUUAGUCUGGAAGCUAAGUAGCUUACCAACCAUCAUCAGUCAGGUUACAUGACAGUCGAGACAAUAAGAACUCACUUAGACUUCCAUCUGAUCUUCCUCCUUUUGGACCCAUACUUUCACCGUCUUAUCGCCGUCAAGUCCUCCCGAUGCAAUCAUGUUUUCAUUGGGGUGGCAUGACACUGCAAUGACUGUGUCAGUAUGACCUUCCAAUUUCUGCAAAAUCUUUCUUGACUGAAGAUCCCAUAUGUAGACACACUUGUCCUCCGAGCCACUGACAAUAUACUUGCCAUUGGUGAUUGAAAAUGCUGCUGGAAUGCAGUAUUUUGUGUUCACAUGGCCAGUAUAUGUCUUAAGAAAUUUCCCAGCUGAGAAAUUCCAGAGCCUCUGCAUAAAUAAACAUUAUGUGAGAACUGCUCUUGUGACACAAAGUACACGUAAGUAGGCUGUAGACACCUGAACAUACACCAAAAAUUCAAUACUGAUGUCAAGUAAAAAAACCUCCAACAGGCAGCAGCUUUAAAGUAUCAGUGCACUACAUAAAUCCAUUCAGUUGUACAGAAAAUGGUUUGGUGAGGUUGGGAUUGUUGUCACAGAAUCACUACAUAAUAUUCAGUUGUACACAAAGGACUCUGCUGAGUUAGGUAGCGCAUAGGAUAUAAUUGUACACAGCCAAGGCCCAAGAGCAAUGUGCUUUGCUAAAUGGCACUACAAUUUAACCUCUUAAAACAAUGUGGAGAUAUUAUUUUUAGGAUCUGCUGGGUGUAGUACCCUUGCUGAUAGGCCAACUCCAAUUUCUUGAGAAAUGGUACCAAGAAUUGUCUCCAGCAUUGAUGGAGGUUGAUAGGAUUGCUGGAAGGACCUAAUAUACUGUAAAGCAUUUAACAAAUUAAAACACCAAGUGGACCAAGCGGGGAACUAAAGACAUAGAUAAUUGGAUAUGUUCAGUAUGAUAACUGAUAAAUUGCUCCAACCAUGAUCAAACACUGGGACUUGAUCUUCAAGGGAGGCUCCCAAAUAAAUAAGCACCAGAAAAAAAAUUAACUACAUGAAAUAUUUUCUUUUAUUAUGCAGGAAGAUGUUGAACAUCGUAUUUAAGAAACAACCAUGUUUCAGUAUAGAUACACAGUGGUACAUAAGAAUAACAAUAAUUCCAAUUCACCGUAACUGUAAGAUGGCUAAUAUUAUCAAAGUACCUGUAUAAGUGUCAGAAUUUGAGAAUGUACCAAGCAAGCAUUUAUACUUGUCUUUUACAAUAUUGCAGCACAGAACAAAAUAUUGAUUAGAUAAAAUAAUCACAAUUUGUCUAUUGCAUACUGAAGCAUUUUGGCCAUCCUAACGUCAUGGUAAGAGCUCAAUACCCAAUCUCUACGUCAUCCGUCAUGAGGAAACCCAUAUAGUUAUUGUACACACUUAUAAUUCAAUAUAUAAAAAAUACCCCUCCUGAGCUUUAUGAUCCCUCAAGUUAACUAAAUAUUUUCAUUUGGCCUCUUAUUAAUUGCUUGUUUCAAACACAGAAAAACUUUAAUAAGCUACUCAUUAAUGCCCCAGUUCUCACCUUACUCUGAAAACAACCAGCGAAACUAUAUUCCUAAAGAUAAACCCAUCUAGCGCUUCCUUAACCAGCACAAAAUUGUUUAGUUGCGAAAGCAAGUGGAUUUCUAGGUUUCCAGGUUCACUAGCACUACCUCAAGAUUGCACACAACACUAACAACAUUGCAGUUUGAAAAACUACUGAAAAGUCAUAUUUUCUCUAACGACACACUAGUCUACUAAAGCAUGGCAAGUAUAGUAACUAUAUAGAGAUAACAUGCAUCUACACAACUGCAAGAUCAUGUGUGCAUGUUGUGGCAGUGAGGCUGUUAAAUACUUAAAUCUAUUGAGUUAAUCCUUCUGUCUCCUUCUUGAGAGAUGUCCUUGUAGCAUUACAAGUUCACAAGGACAUUUCAUUUCCAUAUGACCAACUUUUUCCAAGAGCUAGGAUGUAGGGAUUCAACAUGGCAACAUGGUCUCAAGUUCAGAUAACCUCGGUGGUACCUAAG
rnacentral:sRNA from 1 species